rnacentral:rRNA from 1 species
GACGAACGCUGGCGGCGUGCUUAACACAUGCAAGUCGAACGGAAAGGCCCUGCUUUGGGGGGUGCUCGAGUGGCGAAAGGGUGAGUAACACGUGAGUAACCUGCCCUUGACUUUGGGAUAACUUCAGGGAACUGGGGCUAAUACCGGAUAGGAGCUCCUGCUGCAUGGUGGGGGUUGGAAAGUUUCGGCGGUUGGGGAUGGACUCGCGGCUUAUCAGCUUGUUGGUGGGGUAGUGGCUUACCAAGGCUUUGACGGGUAGCCGGCCUGAGAGGGUGACCGGCCACAUUGGGACUGAGAUACGGCCCAGACUCCUACGGGAGGCAGCAGUGGGGAAUAUUGCACAAUGGGCGGAAGCCUGAUGCAGCAACGCCGCGUGCGGGAUGACGGCCUUCGGGUUGUAAACCGCUUUCGCCUGUGACGAAGCGUGAGUGACGGUAAUGGGUAAAGAAGCACCGGCUAACUACGUG